GGAGUGGCCAUGGAGGGCAGACAGAUGACAGGAAUUAACCUCCGAGUUGCAACGCUGAGAAACACCAAACUAAAGAACUGUAACCUCAGGGGAGCAACGUUGGCAGGAACUGAUUUGGAAAAUUGUGACCUAUCAGGUUGUGACCUCCAGGAAGCCAAUUUGAGGGGCUCUGAUGUGAAAGGAGCCAUCUUUGAAGAGAUGCUGACCCUCUGCACUUGUCCCAGAGCGUCAGAUAGGGAAGAGAAAAGGUCAAAGAGGAAGGAAUCCAAACAUUUGUCGUGACUUUCUUCACCUCCUCCCCUUCCUGAGUUAGAAGGAAUGGUUAUUAGACAACUUCCAUUUGCAGUAGUGCCUAAGUAGACUCUUUCUGAUCA